AUUGAACGCUGGCGGCAGGCCUAACACAUGCAAGUCGAACGAGUGGCGGACGGGUGAGUAAUGUCUGGGAAACUGCCUGAUGGAGGGGGAUAACUACUGGAAACGGUAGCUAAUACCGCAUACCAUCGGAUGUGCCCAGAUGGGAUUAGCUAGUAGGUGGGGUAAAGGAUCACCAAGGCGACGAUCCCUAGCUGGUCUGAGAGUAUGACCAGCCACACUGGAACUGAGAAACGGUCCAGAGUCCUACGGUAGGCAGCAGUGGGGAAGAUUGGACAAUGGGCGCAAGCCUGAUGCAGCCAUGCAGCGGGUAUGAAGAAGGCCUUCGGGUUGUAAAGUACUUUCAGCGGGGAGGCGUUACCCGCAGAAGAAGCACCGGCUAACUCCGUGCCAGCAGCCGCGGUAAUAC
rnacentral:rRNA from 1 species